GCCAACGGCCAUACCACGUUGAGUACACCGGUUCUCGUCCGAUCACCGAAGUUAAGCAACAUCGGGCGUGGUUAGUACUUGGAUGGGUGACCACUUGGGAACACCACGUGCUGUUGGCU
rnacentral:rRNA from 1 species